rnacentral:rRNA from 1 species
UACGAAGGGUGCAAGCGUUGUUCGGAAUUACUGGGCGUAAAGCGCGCGUAGGCGGCUAUACAAGUCAGAGGUGAAAUCCCGGAGCUCAACUCCGGAACUGCCUUUGAAACUGUAUAGCUAGAGUAUUGGAGGGGAGUGCGGAAUUCCUAAUGUAGAGGUGAAAUUCGUAGAUAUUAGGAGGAACACCGGUGGCGAAGGCG